rnacentral:tRNA from 1 species
GCCUGAGUGAUGGAAUUGGUAGACAUGCUAGACUCAAAAUCUGGUGUUCGCAAGAACGUGUGGGUUCAAGUCCCACCUCAGGUACCA